GUACACGCUGUGACUAGCAUAUCAAUAAGCGGAGGAAAAGAAACUAACAAGGAUUCCCCUAGUAACGGCGAGUGAAGCGGGAAGAGCUCAAAUUUGAAAUCUUAAAGGGUUUCCCUUUACGAAUUGUAGUUUAAAGAAGUGUUUUCUGUUGAGGUUUUGGUAAAAGUUCUUUGGAAUAGGACAUCAUAGAGGGUGAGAAUCCCGUAUUUGACCUUUACUUUCAACUUUGUGAUACACUUUCAAAGAGUCGGAUUGUUUGGGAAUGCAGUCCAAAAUGGGUGGUAAAUUUCAUCUAAAGCUAAAUAUUGGCGAGAGACCGAUAGCGAACAAGUACCGUGAGGGAAAGAUGAAAAGAACUUUGAAAAGAGAGUUAAACAGUACGUGAAAUUGCCAAAAGGGAAGCGUUUGACACCAGUGUUGUUUUUCUGAAAAUCAAUUAAAGAACUGUUUAUGCUAAGUUGUUUAGACUUUAUCAGCUAACUGUUUAGUUUUGAGCUUUUCUUUAAUGCACUUUUCAGUUAACAAGUCAACAUCAAUUUCUUUUGCUGUAAAAAAGCUUGAGGAAGGUGGCUUGAGAUUCGUCUUAAGUGUUUAUAGCCUCUUGCCUAUGCAGUCGGAGAGAUUGAGGUCUGCAGCGUAGAUCCUUCGGGGCUGAAUGCAUUUGUGCUAAGUUAUAGCAUUUUAUAGACAACUUGUUGACUAUGAUUUGUCUUGUAGCUUACUCGCUUAUGUUAUUUUACCUACGCUUAGGAUGUUGAAGAUGUAGCACAUCAU
rnacentral:rRNA from 1 species